UAUAGAAUUGUCUCCUUGCUCAUAAACAAUCUUUUACAUUACCAAUUCGCUCAAUAAUAAGCAGAUACGACUAACGUGGGGCACAUGGUUUACAUCUUCACUAGGCUCACUUCUUCUCCAAUAGCCCCUAAUGCUUUAAUUCACAUGGACUAUCUGAUUUUCCUUUUUUAAUUUUUUUGUAGGCGUUGUAUAAAUAGUUUUGCACUGGAUUUUGAAGUAAAAGCAAUAACAGGGAACGUCAAAAGAGCCCUUCAGAGAUUUGGACUGGUUGAGUUUAUGUUGUUGCUGAGCAAUUUGGUUGAGUAUUAUCCUGCCAAUCUCGAAGCUUAAGGCCCUUCAGAACCUCGUACUGACUUGAUUGUGUAUUCUGUCUGGUUAUGUUUACAGUGGAAUAUAGGCAGCGACAGCUCCGCAGGAAAGGUGUUGAAGUGACACCCACAAGCCCCUCUUUUCAUUUGGGCAAGCAAAAGUAAUUAUCAAUGCUGUUGAUAAAAUGGAAACUGUUCCAGAUGAAGAAAAUGAAGAGAAAAAAGUGCAAAAAGAGAAACUGGUGUGAACAGGAAGAUGGCUGGCAAUGGGAGAAGACAGGAAGCAAUGUUUCUUAGUGAUAGUGACUUUGAAUUUGGAAAUGAUGAAGAAUCUGAAUCUAAAUACAAGGAAGGCAUGCCUAAGAAGAGUGGAAGGAAGCUUGCUCAAGAGGUGGCAAAUCUGCGAAAAACAAGUGCUACAAAACCAAAUUCUAUGACAGCCCUGAAGACAAGAAAAGAGAACCAAAAAGUGGAACACAAGAACAACAGAUGAUUGAUGAAAUCCUGGACGUUACUAUAGAUGAUGUUGCUGAUAUUGUGAUCUCCCCUUACAGAAAAUAUCCUGAGCUUUCAGCAGAAAGUUAGGAAUAUGGAACCCUUUCUGGAGCAGAAAAAGUGUAUCAGUGAUGUCAAAACUGUGCCAGUAGAGUGAGACAAGUUCUCCAAGUGGAGAUGGAUUUGCUGGAUCAUUUCUUAGACCUGAAUGGUCAAUGAUUUUCCAAAGCUAGCUGCAUGAAGCAAAUUACAAAGAGCCCUUUGAGCUUCUGUGCAGUAUUUCUUGAAUGAGAGUGACAAUUUAAGGAUGAAGAUGAAGAUGGGAAGCAAUGGAAGAUUCUAAUUUUGAAUAAGAUGAUGAAUUUAGUAUUUCUCAAACCUUCAUGAAUGACAAUGUAUAAUAUGUAGUAAUGAACUUCCUAAACUUAAGAAACCAAUUUACAAAUAUGUAUAGAAACACUAAAUCCAAGUCUGAUUUUGGCCAAGCUCCUGCAUUUGCUUGCAUUUGGCAGUAAUAUAGAUGAUAUUCUUGUUCUAAUCUAAUCAGUUGAUGGUAAUUAUUUCAUCAAAUGACAAAAAUGGCUCAUGGAACAAAUCAGAUACAUUUCCUAUGUUUCUAGUCAUGUCGAGUUGCAUCCCCUAUAGCUAUGUAAAGGGGAUAUACUCACAAAAGUUUUAUGCAUGGCAGUGGUGGAUGAGUUAAAACCAUGUUUCCUUUCCUAGUACCAAUUUAAGAAGAUAUUUACUUUUGUGGCUACCCUACAAGAUACAUAGGCAAAAAUGAAGCCUCAGCAAGGCACACAAAUUAUUUGACAGAAAUCCACUAUGACAUGCAUACUCAUAAAAUAUUCUUAAUAUUUUUCAAUUGAUUAUUAUCAAUA